rnacentral:lncRNA from 10 species
GGCUGGAGUGCAGUAGCACAUUCAUGGUUCACUGCAGCCUUGACUUCCUGGGCUCAAGCGAUCCUUCUGCCUCAGCCUCCUGAGUAGCUCAAGCACUCGUCCCGCCUUGGCCUGCUAAAGUUCUGGGAUUAUGUGUGUGAGCCACCAUGCCCAGCCUUCUUAUUCAUUCUUUCUAUUUUUUUUUUUAACCCAUUAAGCAUUCUCACCCCCAAGAACAAGGUGUACGUUCUUGGCACCUUUGUCGAAAAUGAGUUCACCGUAGGUGUGGCAUGGGGCUUUUACCAGAUGGGAUUAGAGAAGUUUUUAAAGAACUCUGUACACUCCCAAACCAAGACCACCACAGGACCUGGACACCAAAUUGAACUGCUCAUGACAGUUUUUACUGGUUCUCACUGAAGAAUUUGUUAUCAGAGGGAGAGAGAAACAAAAACACUUACAUUUGAAAAUUAAAGCGCCGAAGAUAAGAGCCAGAGCCAGCCCAGCACAGAUCCCUGCUCCGAUGUAGAUGCCUAUUCUGAUGGUUGCUCCAGAGUCCCCUUUUUUUCACACAGAUUUGGCCACCAACCAAGAUGGAUGGGACAGUUGAAGGGAGUGGCAAUGUUCUUUCUGGAGAAACCAAGAUUUGCCUGGUGGGGCAGGUAGCAGCGGAGGUGAGAUGUGAUGGCCUUAACAGUGUAUAAAUUUAGUAGUUACCAUCUAUUUGGUACUUAUUAGGUGCCAGACAUGGUGCUUAGCACCAUAUACAUACAAUCUCAUUUAAUCCUCAACCACAAUAAGUAGGUACUACUAUUUUCCCCAUUUUUCAGAUGAAGAUACUGAGUCUGAGAGAGCCACUUUGCCCAAGAUCACACAGCUAUUAAUUGGGAAAGCUAGGAUUUAAAGCAGAUCUACUCUAGAGCUGAGGACUCACCUGUGACCCAGUCCUUACUCCUUCAGGUAGAAGACAAGUUGCAUUUGUUCUGUGUUCAAAUUCCAGGCCCUUGGAUCUCUUACUUUUAAAGGCUCUACUCCAUUUUUUUUUUUUUUUUUUCUGAGAAAGGGUCUCGCUCUGUUGCCCAGGUUUGGAGUACAGUGGCACCAACUCGGCUCAGUGAAUCCUCAACCUCCUGAGUUCAAGCAAUCUUCCUGCCUCAGCCCUGCCAAGUAGCUGGGACUACAGGCACAUGCCACCAUGCCCGGCUAUUUUUUUUUUUUUUUUUUUUUUUGGGAUGGAAUCUCGCUCUGUUUUCCAGGCUUCAGGACAGUGGUGAGAUCUCGGUUCACUCCUCCCAGGCUCAGACAAUUCUCCUGCCUCAGCCUCCUGAGUAGCUGGAAUUAUAGGCAUGCACCACCAUGACCAGCUAAUUUUUGUAUUUUUAGUAGAGACAGGGGUUUCACCAUCUUGGCCAGGCUGGCUUAAACUCCUGACCUCAGGUGAUCCAUCUGCCUUGGCCUCCCAAAGUGCUGGGAUUACAGGUGUGAGCCACUGCACUCAGCCUAAUUUUUUGUAUUCUUAGUAGAGAUGGGGUUUUGCCAUGUUGCCCAGGCUGGUCUUGAACUCCUGAGCUCCAGUGAUCUGCCUGCCUUGGCCUCCCAUAGUGCUGGGAUUACACAUGUGAGCCACUGUGCCCAGCCCCAUUUUUAUAUUAAAUGCUCCCACAUCCCACAUUUAGAGUUGGUUUGCCAGCAGCCAAUUUACAUAAUGUUACAUAUUAUAGACAAACCAUUAAAUAUUCAUUCAUUUCAAUUUUUUAUUUUAUUUUCCUAUUUAGGAGCUACUGACCUAUUUUUGGUUGUUUCAAUAUUUUUUCUCAGUCAGGCCCUUGAGAAGCUCAGAGGUUCGAGGUAUUAUUCCUAUAUUCCCAUUUUUGUUGCCCUAGAGGGAAGGAACUAACAAACAAAAACUAAAGGGAAGGCUGGGCGUGGUGGCUUACACCUGUAAUCCCAGCGCUUUGGGAGGCCGAGGCAGAGGGAUCACCUGAGGUUAGGAGUUCGAGACCAGCAUGGCCACCAUGGUGAAACCCCGUCUCUAAUAAAAAUACAAAAAUUAGCGGGGCGUGGUGGCGCGCGUCUGUAAUCCCAGCUACUUGGGAGGCUGAGGCAGGAGAAUGGCAUGAACCUGGGAGGCAGAGUUUGCAGUGAGCCAAGAUCGUGUCAUUGCACUCCAGCCUGGGUGAGAGAGUGAGACUCCGUCUCAAAAAAAAAAAAAAAGGAAAGAAAAACUAAAGGAAAGAAGACUUCUGUCUGUGGUAGAGACAAGUAUAAGGAAAUGCACCACCUCGACAGGGAGUGAACUCCGUCUACAGCAAAUGCCCAUUCAGUGGUGAUGUAGUAAAAAGUACUGGCCGGGCGCGGUGGCUCACGCGUGUAAUCCCAGCACUUUGGGAGGCCGAGGCGGGAGGAUCACAAGGUCAGGAGAUGGAGACCAUCCUGGCUAACACGGUGAAACUCUGUCUCUACUAAAAAUACAAAAAAGAAAAAAAUUAGCUGGGCUUGAUGGUGGGCGCCUGUAGUCCCAGCUACUUGGGAGGCUGAGGCAGGAGAAUGGCGUGAACCCAGGAGGCGGAACUUGCAGUGAGCCGAGAUUGCGCCACUGCACUCUAGUCUGGGUGACAGAGCAAGACUCCGUCUCAAUUAAAAAAAAAAAAAAAAGUACUGAAGCACAGGAUGGGAAAGUGAGACUAAAUGACCCUUGAAGUCCCUUCUAGCACUAUGGUUGUAAGAUUCUUUAAAAUAUAACAAUGGCAUACAAUAAGUAUCUGGUAUAACUUUAUUAUUUUCUGUCCCCACCAUAUUUAGUUUCCUCUCUAAUUGCAUAAAAGAUGUUGGCUACCAAUCACUAAAGACUAACCAAAGACUGAAACUUUGGAGAGCUAAAACCAGUAACUAUAGUAAUAAUAAACAGUUGAGUGCUUUUUAUGGGCCAGGUACUAUGCUGAGCAUUUUACAUACAUUAUCAUGUUUAUACAUUACAACCACCUCAUGACAUGGGCACUGGAAUUAUCCUCAUUGUAGAGAUGAGCAAACUGAGCUUCAGAGAAUUUGAGCAACUUGACUGAGGUCACAGAGCUAUCAAGAACAGCUGAAAUUAGAACCCAUUCCACCUGUCACUGAAGUACUUUAACCACAAUCUCACUGUGCCUCCUGAUCUUAUAAUAUUAACGACAACAGCUAACAUGUACAAAUUGUGGUCAGACAUUGGGAUAAACGUUUUAGACAUUUUCUUAUUUAAAGCCCAUAAGGUGUGAUUUAUGAGAUUUAUGACAUUAUGAGGUGGGACUCACCUAUUAACCUCAUUUUACAGAAGAAAAAAAAAAUGGAGCUCCAGAGAGUUUAGAAGAGACCAGGACACUGACAAGAAAUACCUUAAAAUUAACCUUCAUGAUCAAUGUGACUUGACUUCUGCUUUAUGCCCAGUGUUCUCUUCUGGAGCACCCUGAGUACGUCCUUGCUGAAUUACAUGAAGAAUUUAACUAUUCUUUCUGUGGCUGGAAUCCAGGGAAGGUGAUGGGCUUUAUUCUAGCUAGAAGGCAUCCUAGAAAUCACCUAAUCCAAUGUGUCAGUUCCCAAACACAGACUGACACCAGUUCAUGACCAAACAUCACCAGUCCAGGGUCAGUCAGAAAAUGUGGACAAAGUAAUGAGCAUUUCAUUCAAUUUAGUUAAUAUUUAAGUAAAAUUAAAGACUAUAAAGUUUAUUAACUUUUUUCCAGUUAAAAUUUAAGUAAAAUAAUCCUAAGCCAGACCAUCUUUUUCCCAGCACAGGUGUGUCUCCACCACUUCCCUCUUUUCAAACACUAUUUCAGGUGCACGGAGAUAUCCAUGCCUCCACUCUCACACUGUUUUCUCAUCUUUUUUUCCCACAUUCAAAAUCCUCUGAAUUCAGAGCCAGCUAAAGAUUCCCUCCUCUGCCCCAUGCAUAGUUACCUGGGCCAUGUCCCCUGGUGGUAAGCAUCCUUGGAAAGGCUGCAGUGAAGUCUCUCUGCCGAGUCGGUGCAGGGGUGACCUUGGCUAAUGUCAGAAACAACAUAAGGAUGAAAAUUAUCUGAGAGCAGAAAGCUUAUUUCAGGGAAUCAAAGGGGCAGCAAGAAAAAAAUGCGAAAGACAAUUAAGAAAGAGAAAUACACCCUCAGCUUCCAAACCUGCCUGGAUACCUACGUUGAGAGUGUAUCACACACUUCAAAUGUUUGACAAAGGUAAGAUGCAGUCAUCAUUGUUACAUUCUGAUUAUUAAUAGCGGAACUAACAGCCACACAAAUGGCCAUAAUUACAGGUUGAAGACUCCUUAUCUGAAAUGCUUGAGAUCAGAAAUGUUUUAGAUUUUGAAUUUUUUUUUUUUUUUUGAAACGGAGUUUUGCUCUUGUUGCCCAGGCUGGAGUGCAAUGGCAUAAUCUCGGCUCACUGCAACCUCCGCCUCCUGGGUUCAAGCAAUUCUCCUGCCUCAGACUCCUGAGUAGCUGGGACUACAGGCAUGUGCAACCACACCUGGCUAAUUUUGUAUUUUUAGUAGAGACAGGGUUUCUCCAUGUUGGUCAGACUGGUCUCGAACUCCCGACCUCAGGUGAUCCACCCACCUCAGCCUCCCAAAGUGCUGGGAUUAUAGGCAUGAGCCACCACGCCCAGCCAUGUUUUUAUUUUUUUAUUUUUUAGUAUCUGCCUAUACUUAUGUUCCAAUGAGCUUUUCCUUUGAAUGUCAUGUCAGUGUCCAAAAAGUUUUGGAUUUUAGAGCAUUUCAGAUUUUGGUGCAUUUUAGGUUUUAGAUUUUCAGAUUUGGGAUGCCCAACCUAUAAAGGCUUUUAAUAAAAUAUUAUCACAUAAAAUCCUUCUAAUGGCCCACAUGAUCGGUAUUAUUGUCAUAUUUUAUAGAAGAGGAGCUCACAGCGUUUCAAUAACUUGCUCAGGAUUAUAUAGCUAGUAAGAGGCAGAGUUAGAUGUAAACUCAGCUCUAUCUGGGCACAAAGUACAUGUUAUAGAAAUCUUAAGUCUGUUCACCUCCCAGCAUACAUGCAUAACCCAGCAGUUCACCAUGCUGGCUGCACCUGGGGUAAAAUCACCUGAGGUAGACUCUGUAAAAAGCUAAUGCUUAGCAUCUACCUCCAGAGAUGCUGAUUUCUCUGGUUUUUGGUAGUGGGGUUUUUUCUUCUGCUUUUUAAGAGAUAGGGGUAGCCACAGUAUAUCAGCCAGGCUGGUCUCAAACUCCUGACCUCAAGUGAUCCUCCUGCUUCAGCCUCUCAAAGUAUUGGGAUUAUAGGCAUGAGCCACUGUACCUGGCAUCUAUAGUUGUUUAAAAACUCUCUAUGUGAUUCUAAUGAGAGUCAGGGUCUCUAACCACUGAUCUAGGCCUUUCAUCCCAUCUAUACAUUCCACCCAUGAGUUUUGGCUUUUCUUUUCUUUUCUUUUUUUUUUUUUGAGACAGAGUUUCACCCUUGUCAGCCAGGCUGGAGUACAAUGGCG